rnacentral:tRNA from 1 species
GCCCUCUUGGUGGAAUUUGGUAGACACACCAGUCUUAGAAACUGGGAUGAAGUAAUAGUAGUGUGUGAGUUCGAGUCUCACAGGGGGUA